UGCAAGUCGAGCGGAACGAGUUAACUGAACCUUCGGGGGACGUUAACGGCGUCGAGCGGCGGACGGGUGAGUAAUGCCUGGGAAAUUGCCCUGAUGUGGGGGAUAACCAUUGGAAACGAUGGCUAAUACCGCAUAAUAGCUUCGGCUCAAAGAGGGGGACCUUCGGGCCUCUCGCGUCAGGAUAUGCCCAGGUGGGAUUAGCUAGUUGGUGAGGUAAGGGCUCACCAAGGCGACGAUCCCUAGCUGGUCUGAGAGGAUGAUCAGCCACACUGGAACUGAGACACGGUCCAGACUCCUACGGGAGGCAGCAGUGGGGAAUAUUGCACAAUGGGCGCAAGCCUGAUGCAGCCAUGCCGCGUGUAUGAAGAAGGCCUUCGGGUUGUAAAGUACUUUCAGCAGUGAGGAAGGGGUGUACGUUAAUAGCGUGCAUCUUUGACGUUAGCUGCAGAAGAAGCACCGGCUAACUCCGUGCCAGCAGCCGCGGUAAUACGGAGGGUGCGAGCGUUAAUCGGAAUUACUGGGCGUAAAGCGCAUGCAGGUGGUUUGUUAAGUCAGAUGUGAAAGCCCGGGGCUCAACCUCGGAAUUGCAUUUGAAACUGGCAGACUAGAGUACUGUAGAGGGGGGUAGAAUUUCAGGUGUAGCGGUGAAAUGCGUAGAGAUCUGAAGGAAUACCAGUGGCGAAGGCGGCCCCUGGACAGAUACUGACACUCAGAUGCGAAGCGUGGGGAGCAAACAGG
rnacentral:rRNA from 1 species